UACGUAGGGUGCGAGCGUUUAAUCGGAAUUACUGGGCGUAAAGCGUGCGCAGGCGGUUUUGUAAGCCAGAUGUGAAAUCCCCGGGCUUAACCUGGGAAUGGCAUUUGGGACUGCAAAGCUUGAGUGCGGCAGAGGGGACUGGAAUUCCUGGUGUAGCAGUGAAAUGCGUAGAGAUCAGGAGGAAUACCGAUGGCGAAGGCAGGUCCCUGGGCUGACACUGACGCUCAUGCACGAAAGCGUGGGGAGCAAACAGG
rnacentral:rRNA from 1 species